rnacentral:rRNA from 1 species
UACGUAGGGUGCAAGCGUUAAUCGGAAUUACUGGGCGUAAAGCGUGCGCAGGCGGCUUUGCAAGACAGAUGUGAAAUCCCCGGGCUCAACCUGGGAACUGCAUUUGUGACUGCAUGGCUGGAGUGCGGCAGAGGGGGAUGGAAUUCCGCGCGUAGCAGUGAAAUGCGUAGAUAUGCGGAGGAACACCGAUGGCGAAGGCAAUCCCCUGGGCCUGCACUGACGCUCAUGCACGAAAGCGUGGGGAGCAAACAGG